UGAGGUUUUCCUGUCAACUUAUUUUAUUUAAAAUUCUAAUAUAGAAGAAAAAAGAAUUUAACAAUAGACACGCUAAGGCAAGUGGUUAUGUCUUAUUAUACAGCAACAUUAUUGUAUAUACAUGUAGUUUCUCUGGGUUAAAAGCCUCAGCAGGAUUUACAAGCACAAGUAACAAUGGAAUAAACAGACAAAUGGAAACACAAUCUAUGUUAUACACAGAAUCUUAAAAAUCCUUAAUGUUACAAACAGAAUAGGGCAAUGAAUGGAUGAUUUAAUCCAGUGACCAAAAAGUUUGUAUUUAUCAUCAAAUCUAUAUUUUUGUACAAAUUGAAACAAAGAUGAUUUUCCACUGCCCCCAAAUAAAUUGUUCCCACCUUUAAAAUUUAUUAAUUCAACAAACAUUUGUUAGGCACCUACUAUAGGGAAAGCCCUGUACCAGGUGCUAGAGAAAAUACAAAAUUUAGACAAUUAAAAUGCUUAUAACCACUGGGAACUGAGGAUGAGCAUGAUUUAACUGCAGUGAAAGUGGAUGGUUUUCGCAUAAUUCAAGAUAUGUAGGUAUAACUUGUUUCUGAGGCAACAAUAGUAGCACAACAUAACCUUUUCACACCUCCCCCAUUAACUAGUUGUGUGAUCUUGUUUGAUUACAUGAGGUCAAAGGCCUCUUCCAACCCUGAAAUUCUAGGACAUGUGGUUACCUGAGAUUUUCAGCAAAAAGAAAAAAAAAAAAAUUUAUAUAUAUAUAUAUAUAUUCACUGAAGUAACUAACUGAAUAAAUAAGCUAAUAUUAUCUCAUCCACUGCUUGCCCCUAAUGUUGUGUAACCACUUCCAGGUGUCAUGGGUCAAUGACUUAAUUAUUUAAAAUUAAAAAAAAAAUCAUGUCGCUUCUAUAUAUCAGGAUAUAUGUAUUAUUUUAGAUUUGUGUUUUCAUUUAUGUAGCCUAGGUUCUCAAAUUUUGUUUGCUUGCUGCUCAUGAUGGAACACAAAAAUGUAACCACUAUUUAGCCCAUAGGCUUUGCAAACUAAUCCUCAAAGAGGAUGUUGCAUGAAGUCCAUGGGAAUGUUUAUAUGAAAGCCUUAUACAAAGGUUUAUACACUUUCUCCUUGUUUUGAUUCAUAAGGUAAAAUUCAAAUAGAAAUUUUAAGGAUGCAGACUAGUUUAAUCUAAGAAUUCUGAUCACUUGAGUUGUUCAACAAUGACAAACUGUUUCAGUAAAGUGAUGACCAUUGGCCAGGGUUAUGAUAGAGGGAAUUUUGUUCCACUAUGUGGAAGAUUAAUUCCCUUUAAGAUUCCUGCCAACUAAAAAUUCUGAUUUCUAAUUCAGUGGAUAGUCUGUUCCCUCAGUUAAUGAUAUAGUGUUGUUGAUGACAUUAUGAGUAAUCGAGACUGGCCUUGCUAACCAGUUGUCCAGGAAGAGGAUUGGGAUGCUGCUUGGUCCUUAUUCAUAUCUGUCUAAAGCAUCUUAUCUGUUUCACUUGGCAGCCUGGGGAAUGGAUCCUUUCUAGCCAGCUCCUGCUCAGAGAGGCUGUGCUGUAAUGAGAAAGAAGUUUAUUUGGAAUUGGAUAUCCGGGGUUUGCUUCCUAUUAUACAACACUUUGGUAAAGCUCCCUCAAUAGAAUUUAGUCUUUUCAUCUGUAAAAUAAGGAGAGAAAGAGUCACUAGCUUCCCGGGUUGUUGUGAAGAUCAAAUGAGAUAAUUGUAAAGCUUUUAGUACCAUGACUGGUAUACCUCCCACCCCCCAUCCUAUGGGAAGGUGAAACUAAAGAGGGCAUGCCAUGUACAUGUCCUCACAUAAUCUGACUUAAGUAAGGCUAAGGUGGACCAUUUAAUGCUGAAAGUACAAAGCUGUACUUUUAAAUUGUGCUACAGAUGAAUGCCCUAGAAGCAUGUAAAGUCAUACAAUAAAUUAAAAUGCAUUCGAUCAGAAUGCUGUACAAGAUGAUGUAAACAGUGGGAUGCAGAGGUUAGUUCACCUGGGCCAGGUACAUACAGAGUCUAUAUUAUGAAGGGGCAGAGUGAAGCCACAGUGAUAGGGAGUCCUUGUAGUCUAUAAGGUAACAACCUGCUUUACUGCUAUUUGUCUUGGGGAGCCGCCUUCUUCAUGCAACCUUGUAAGAAAGACUGAGAGCUGCAGGGGCUAUUUAUUCCAGGUAUUGACAAAGAGAGACUUAUGUGCCAAGAAGAGACCCGCGAUUUGAAGGCUCCCAGAUCUGUUUGCCAGAGGCCAGAACUCCCUAGGAGCCUUUUCAUCUCCUUCAAAAGAACUGUGUUUAUAUGAAGGAAGUCUGUCACUUAAGAGGCAGGGAACACACAGGAAGAUUAGGGCUUUGCAGGAUCUCAGAGAUCAUUUCGUUUUCUCUAGACUUUCCUUUUCUCACUGCUAUCCUGUCCAUUCCUGCCCCACUCCCUCAUCUAAGGAAAACACACGCGCGCACGCACACACACACACACACACAACCAAAAACUGAAGCCCUAGCAAUUUAAGUGAUUUAGUCAAGAUCACACAGCUAGUUAGCUAAAGGCAGAGAUGAGAACCCAACUUUCCUUAACUCCUGGCCCAUUCUUCUUUCAGUUACACUGCAUUGGGGAUUCAUUUUUGAUUCUACCGAAUUGAAGCAAUCUAAGGACCUUUCAAAAGCUGCACAGAGAUGGCCACAUUUUCCAUAAGAAGGGCAAGUGACUGGUGGUAUGACUAGUUAAGUCACUUCCCAUAUCUUUCCUUUAGUUUUCUCUUCUGUUAAGAUUAGAUUUCACUUACUGAUCUCCAACCUCAAUAUUCCAAUUAAUCCCAAAGCUCUGUUAGCUCACCCUUCUCAAGCCUUUAAAACAAAGAAAAGGUUUUUUAUAAUUCAUAGUAUAUA
rnacentral:lncRNA from 1 species